rnacentral:rRNA from 1 species
CCUACGGUAGGCUGCAGUGGGGAAUAUUGCACAAUGGGGGGAACCCUGAUGCAGCGACGCCGCGUGAGUGAAGAAGUAUUUCGGGAUGUAAAGCUCUAUCAGCAGGGAAGAAAAUGACGGUACCUGACUACGAAGCCCCGGCUAACUACGUGCCAGCAGCCGCGGUAAUACGUAGGGGGCAAGCGUUAUCCGGAUUUACUGGGUGUAAAGGGAGCGUAAACGGUUAUGAAAGUCUGAAGUGAAAGCCCAAGGCUGAACCAGGGGACUGCUUUUGAAACUGUAAAACUGGAGUGCAGGAGAGGUAAGCGGAAUUCAUAGUGUAGCGGUGAAAUGCGUAGAUAUCAGGAGGAACACCGGUGGCGAAGGCGGCCUGCUGGACUGCGACUGACGUUGAGGCCCGAAAGCGUGGGGAGCAAACAGGAUUAGAUACCCCUGUAGUC